rnacentral:lncRNA from 1 species
CAAAGGACAAGAAAUGCCCUGAUGGAGAAUGGGAUAUGCUGCGGUUUGAGCAACAGGUGAAUUGAAUCCAGGGGAAGCGUGAGAAGAUGGGAAACUAGAGAUAAUGAUGCUAUGAAAUGAAGGUCUGGGUUCCUGCUCUCAAGGAAUUUGAAGGGGGAGACGGAGGCACAAUGGAGACCAGAGGAAAACAGACCUUGUGGAUGGGGACACAGGAAGCACCUCUUCAUUCUUUCGGAGGAGAGGGGUAAUAUUUACGGAAGUUGAUUUUUAACUGGGGUUUUGAAUGCUGAAUAGGAAUUCGUUAGACUAAUAAGGGAAGGAAAGUCAUCGUAGCAGAGGAAACAACUUGAGCAAAAGAAUUACAAUUAUGUGUUUGAGGACUAGUAAGCAGUCUGGAGUCCUGUGUAGAGAAUAUUACGGGGAAGAGCGAGAAGGAGGCACGCAGUCUGGAGACAGCCCGUGAAGAUUAUAUAUUUUCUUUGCAUGCUAGUUAGUUUAGACGUUCUUCUGAGCGCUGGAGAGCAAGAGAUCAUUAGGUGGUUGUGUUUCAGAAAAAGACGAAUGCACAGAGCAUGGAUUGGCAGGAGAGAGAGGAAGCAGAGGUCUGUGCUUACAGAGCAAGUUAGAAAUCAUCAAGUAGUGGACUGGGACUGGAAAGCAGGGGUUAGAAGGUUGGGAGCAGGGAGCAGGUGACAGAGAAGUUUCAGAUGAGAAUGGGCUGGAAAUUAAGCAAGAAAGUGGAAGGGACGCCUCUAAGCCAAGUGCAGACUAGUGCUGGUCUGUAGGCCAAAUCUGCGUCAGCCACAGGUUUACAAAUUUGGAGAUUGUUUUUAGAGGGAGGAGAAUGGUUCAACAAAUGUUUUUUUUUUCUUCUGCUUCUGGAUACUUUUUACUUUGAAAAAAUUGUACAAGAACACAAGUGUUCAAGGACACCCAUAUGCACACUAUAUUCAUCAACUGUAAAUUUUGCUACAUUUAUUUUUUACUUUCUCUCCCUUCUCUCUUUUUUUUUUUUUGCUGAGUCAAUUGAAAGCAAGUUUCAAAGAUGAGGUCACUUCACUCCUAA